GGCCAGGUCUCCUCGGCCGGUGCCCAGAGGCCCGUUAUGCCCACGGUGGCUCCAGCGGGAGGGGCCGCCGUGCAGCCGGGUAAGGGGGAGCUGGGCAGUACCGGGCUGGGUGAGGGGCGCUCAGCCCCGGAGCCCGGCGGGUGGGCGUCGCCGGGAGGAGGACCCCUGGGCCGGGCGCGGCGUUGGGGGCAGGGUUACCGCGAGCCCGCCGUUAGGCCCGCCCCCGAAGGAGGCGGGAGAGGCGCCCGAGCCCGGCGGCGGGCUGGACCCCGCAGAGCGUCCGCCCGUCCGCCUGCUCCUGCGGUCCGUUCCCGCGGCGGCCGGGCCCGGCCGCUCCCGAUCCGCCAUGCCGCCCGCGGGGCUCUGCGGGGCCGCGCCGCUCGCUGCGAUCGCCCUCUUGGUGCUGGGGGCCCCGCUGGCGCUGGCCGGCGAGGACUGCCUGUGGUACCUGGACCGCAAUGGCUCCUGGCAUCCGGGCUUUAACUGCGAGUUCUUCACCUUCUGCUGCGGGACCUGCUACCAGCGGUACUGCUGCCGGGACCUGACCUUGCUCAUCACAGAGCGUCAGCAGAAGCACUGCCUGGCCUUCAGUCCUAAGACCAUAGCAGGGAUCGCCUCCGCCGUGAUCCUCUUUGUGGCCGUAGUCGCCACCACCAUCUGCUGCUUCCUCUGUUCCUGCUGCUACUUGUACCGCCGGCGCCAGCAUCUGCAGAGCCCCUUUGAAGGCCAGGAGAUUCCAAUGACAGGCAUCCCAGUGCAGCCAGUGUACCCGUACCCCCAGGACCCCAAAGCUGGCCCCAUCCCCCCACAGCCUGGCUUCAUGUACCCACCUGGCGGUCCUGCUCCCCAGUACCCACUCUACCCCGCUGGGCCCCCUAUCUACAACCCUGCAGCCCCUCCCCCCUACAUGCCAUCCCAGCCCUCCUACCCAGGAGCCUGAGGGACCAGUCAGCCUCUGCUGCCCUUCAGUGAUACCCCUCUCCGGUAUCUGCAUCUGGCUCUGGGUUCCUCUGCUCCCAGGAUCCAAGCCAGGAACGUCGAGGCCCCUCCUGUUGGUCCCCUGUGGGCCUCGGUGGGGCAGGGAGGGGGAUCCGUCGUCAGUCAACAGGAGCCCUCCUCCGGCUGCCCCACUGGCAGGUCUCUGCUGCUGGAUUAAAGCUGUACAGAUGUAA